rnacentral:rRNA from 1 species
CCUACGGGGGGCAGCAGUGGGGAAUAUUGCACAAUGGGGGAAACCCUGAUGCAGCGACGCCGCGUGAGUGAAGAAGUAUUUAGGUAUGUAAAGCUCUAUCAGCAGGGAAGAAAUACUGACCUUACGGUCCGCAGACGGUACCUGACUAAGAAGCACCGGCUAACUACGUGCCAGCAGCCGCGGGAAUACGUAGGGGGCAAGCGUUAUCCGGAUUUACGGGGUGUAAAGGGAGCGUAGACGGCAGCGCAAGUCUGAAGUGAAAUCCCAUGGCUUAACCAUGGAACUGCUUUGGAAACUGUGCUGCGGGAGUGCAGGAGAGGUAAGCGGAAUGCGUAGUGUAGCGGUGAAAUGCGUAGAUAUUAGGAGGAACACCAGUUGCGAAGGCGGCUUACUGGACUGUAACUGACGUUGAGGCUCGAAAGCGUGGGGAGCAAACAGGAUUAGAUACCCCUGUAGUC